CAGAUGUGAAAGACCCGGGGCGUCAACCUCGGAAUUGCAUUUGAAACUAGGCAGACUAGAGUACUGUAGAGGGGGGUAGGAAUUUCAGGUGUAGCGGUGAAAUAGCGUAGAGAUCUGAAGGAAUACCGGUGGCGAAGGCGGCCCCCUCGGACAGAUACUGACACUCAGAUGCGAAAGCGUGGGGAGCAAACAGGAUUAGAUACCCUGGUAG
rnacentral:rRNA from 1 species